rnacentral:rRNA from 1 species
AACAAGUACCGUGAGGGAAAGGUGAAAAGAACCCCGGGAGGGGAGUGAAAUAGAAACUGAAACCGUAUGCUUACAAAAAGUUCGAGCACAUUAAUGUGUGAGAGCGUGCCUUUUGCAGAAUGAACCGGCGAGUUAUUGUAUUAUGCAAGGUUAAGUCGAACAGAUGGAGCCGAAGCGAAAGCGAGUCUGAAUAGGGCGCUUAAGUAUGAUGCAAUAGACCCGAAACCGAGUGAUCUAGCCAUGAGCAGGUUGAAGUUGGGGUAAGACCCAAUGGAGGACCGAACCGAUAUGCCCGGAAACGCGUACGGAUGACUUGUGGUUAGCGGAGAAAUUCCAAACGAACUCGGAGAUAGCUGGUUCUCCCCGAAAUAGGUUUAGGCCUAGCCUUGAUUGAAUCUGCCCGGAGGUAGAGCACUGAAUGUGCGAUGGCGUCGUCUAGAUGUACUGAGUACAAUCAAACUCCGAAUGCUGGGUAGUACUAAUCAGGAGUCACUGUAUGGGUGAUAACGUCCAUACGGGAGAGGAAAAGAAUCCGGAUCGCCAGCUAAGGUCCCAAAAUUUGUGUUAAGUGGGAAAGGAUGUAGAGUUGUCAAAACAGCUAGGAGGUUGGCUUAGAAGCAGCCACCCUUUAAAGAGUGCGUAAUAGCUCACUAGUCGAGUGACACUGCGCCGAAGAUGUACCGGGGCUAAACACAAUACCGAAGCUGCGGACUUGCAUGUAAGUGCAAGUGGUAGGGGAGCGUUCUAAGUGCAGAGAAGGUAGACCGUAAGGACUGCUGGAGCGCUUAGAAGUGAGAAUGCCGGUGUGAGUAACGAAAAUUGGGUGAGAAUCCCAUUCACCGUUUGACUAAGGGUUCCUGGGUAAAGUUCGUCUUCCCAGGGUAAGUCAGGACCUAAGAUGAGGCUGAAAAGCGUAGUCGAUGGACAACAGGUUGAUAUUCCUGUACCACCUAUAUGACUGAAGGAGUGACGGAGAAAGCUAGUGAGAGCCAGUUAAUGGAUUCUGGUCUAAGUGCGUAGGCUAGUAUGUUGGCAAAUCCGCAAUACUAUAACAGCUGAAACAUGAUGGGGAAGAGAGUCUUCGGACAAUCGAACUUUCAUGAUGCUAUGCUUCCAAGAAAAGCUUCUAGGGUUAAUCGUAUAGGUGCCUGUACCGACAACCGACACAGGUGGUCAAGGAGAGUAUCCUAAGGUGAGCGAGAGAACUAUGGUUAAGGAACUCGGCAAAAUGACCCCGUAACUUCGGGAGAAGGGGUGGUCUAGCGAUAGACCCGCAGUGAAUAGGCCCAGGCAACUGUUUACCAAAAACACAGGUCUCUGCUAACACGUAAGUGGAUGUAUAGGGGCUGACGCCUGCCCAGUGCUGGAAGGUUAAAGAGAUUAGUUAGUAUGACGUAAGUCGAUAAUACGAAGCUUUGAACUGAAGCCCCAGUGAACGGCGGCCGUAACUAUAACGGUCCUAAGGUAGCGAAAUUCCUUGUCAGGUAAGUUCUGACCCGCACGAAAGGCGUAAUGAUUUGGGCGCUGUCUCGACAAUGUCCCCGGCGAAAUUGUAGUACUAGUGAAGAUGCUAGUUACCUGCGAUAAGACAGAAAGACCCCAUGGAGCUUUACUGCAGUUUGAUACUGGGUUUCGAUGAUUUAUGUACAGGAUAGUUGGGAGACUAUGAAAGAGAGGCGUCAGCUUCUCCGGAGUCGUUGUUGGGAUACCAACCUUAAGUUAUUGAAAUUCUAACUUGUAAUCGUAAACCGGUUAGAGGACAAUGUCAGACGGGCAGUUUGACUGGGGCGGUCGCCUCCUAAAGAGUAACGGAGGCGCCCAAAGGUUUCCUCAGCGCGGACAGAAAUCGCGCGAAAGAGUGCAAAGGCAGAAGGAAGCUUAACUGAGAGACAGACAUGUCGACCAGAUACGAAAGUAGGGCUUAGUGAUCCGGUGGUUGUAAAUGGAAAUGCCAUCGCUCAACGGACAAAAGUUACCCUGGGGAUAACAGGCUUAUCUCCCCCAAGAGUUCACAUCGACGGGGAGGUUUGGCACCUCGAUGUCGGCUCAUCGCAUCCUGGGGCUG